rnacentral:rRNA from 1 species
CCAUGGGCAGGUUGAAGGUUGGGUAACACUAACUGGAGGACCGAACCGACUAAUGUUGAAAAAUUAGCGGAUGACCUGUGGCUGGGGGUGAAAGGCCAAUCAAACCGGGAGAUAGCUGGUUCUCCCCGAAAGCUAUUUAGGUAGCGCCUCGUGAAUUCAUCUCCGGGGGUAGAGCACUGUUUCGGCUAGGGGGCCAUCCCGGCUUACCAACCCGAUGCAAACUGCGAAUACCGGAGAAUGUUAUCACGGGAGACACACGGCGGGUGCUAACGUCCGUCGUGAAGAGGGAAACAACCCAGACCGCCAGCUAAGGUCCCAAAGUCAUGGUUAAGUGGGAAACGAUGUGGGAAGGCCCAGACAGCCAGGAUGUUGGCUUAGAAGCAGCCAUCAUUUAAAGAAAGCGUAAUAGCUCACUGGUCGAGUCGGCCUGCGCGGAAGAUGUAACGGGGCUAAACCAUGCACCGAAGCUGCGGCAGCGAACGUAUCACCCAAGACAACUUUACGGAGUUGACGAUUGACGGAGCGAAGCGACGUCAAAGCGUUCAUUAAAGUCGAGUUGGCUUAGGGAUACGUUCGUUGGGUAGGGGAGCGUUCUGUAAGCCUGUGAAGGUGUGUCGUGAGGCAUGCUGGAGGUAUCAGAAGUGCGAAUGCUGACAUAAGUAACGAUAAAGCGGGUGAAAAGCCCGCUCGCCGGAAGACCAAGGGUUCCUGUCCAACGUU